GAUGAAGAACGUAGUGAAAUGCGAUAAGUAAUGUGAAUUGCAGAAUUCAGUGAAUCAUCGAAUCUUUGAACGCACCUUGCGCUCCCUGGUAUUCCGGGGAGCACGCCUGUUCGAGUGUCGCGAUAUUCUUCAAGCCUUGGAUGGAUUUUUUUUUUGUCUGUCCUUGGGCUUGGUUGUUGGGCUCUGCCGUGUCCUUCAUUGGGACGGCUGGCCUUAAAAGCAUUAGCCGAUCCUCGUGUGGUACUGGUUCUACUCAGCGUGAUAACAAUCUGAUCGUUGAGGACAUCUUCUGGAUGGCCAGUCAUCAUUUGGGUUGCUUCUAAACCGGUUUCGCAGAUUGCUCAAUCUGUGUGCCACUUUUCAGCUUUGACCUCGAAUCAGGUGGGACUACCCGCUGAACUUAAGCAUAUCAAUAAGCGGAGGA
rnacentral:misc_RNA from 1 species